AUUGAACGCUGGCGGCAUGCUUUACACAUGCAAGUCGAACGGUAACAGGUUAAGCUGACGAGUGGCGAACGGGUGAGUAAUGCAUCGGAACGUGCCCGAUCGUGGGGGAUAACGUAGCGAAAGUUACGCUAAUACCGCAUACGAUCUGAGGAUGAAAGCGGGGGACCGUAAGGCCUCGCGCGAUCGGAGCGGCCGAUGUCAGAUUAGGUAGUUGGGGGGGUAAAGGCCCACCAAGCCGACGAUCUGUAGCUGGUCUGAGAGGACGACCCGCCACACGGGGACUGAGACACGGCCCAGACUCCUACGGGAGGCAGCAGUGGGGAAUGUUGGACAAUGGGCGCAAGCCUGAUCCAGCAAUGCCGCGUGCAGGAAGAAGGCCUUCGGGUUGUAAACUGCUUUUGUACGGAGCGAAAAGGCUCCCUCUAAGACAGGGGGCUCAUGACGGUACCGUAAGAAUAAGCACCGGCUAACUACGUGCCAGCCGCCGCGGUAACAC
rnacentral:rRNA from 1 species